UUUGUCUUCCAUAAUGAGAUGCAAUGCCUUUACUACUUUCGCUUUAGAAAUUUUGGGCUCUCACUCUUUCCUCUCCAUUAGCAAUCAUACUUUCCUGCUAAAGGGUCCGUCGAACAGAGCCUCAUCAGAGUCCCCUUUGCAACCAACAUGGCAGAGAACUGAGGCGGUCCUUUCCUGCUAUGGUCCUGACACGUAUUUUGCCCAGCAAAGGUAACUAAGAGUACAUAUUUACAGGCUAUUACAAAGGAGUAUCUUCACUUGAUUCUUGUAUUUUCUAUCUGGUUGCCCAGCUUCGCCUGACUGAGCCAGAGUAUUUCUUUUUUUAAAAGAGGAUAUGCAGAAUUACUUAUUGUUACUCAAUGUUACUCUUGCUAUUUAUAGCCACUUUGACUGUAAGAAAAGGGCAAAGAAC